rnacentral:rRNA from 1 species
UGGGGAAUUUUGGACAAUGGGGGCAACCCUGAUCCAGCCAUCCCGCGUGUGCGAUGAAGGCCUUCGGGUUGUAAAGCACUUUUGUCAGGAAAGAAACGUCAUGGGUUAAUACCCCGUGAAACUGACGGUACCUGCAGAAUAAGCACCGGCUAACUACGUGCCAGCAGCCGCGGUAAUACGUAGGGUGCAAGCGUUAAUCGGAAUUACUGGGCGUAAAGCGUGUGCAGGCGGUUCGGAAAGAAAGAUGUGAAAUCCCAGAGCUCAACUUUGGAAGUGCAUUUUUAACCACCGGUCUAGAGUGUGUGAGAGGGAGGUGGAAUUCCGCGUGUAGAAGUGAAAUGCGUAGAUAUGCGGAGGAACACCGAUGGCGAAGGCGGCUUCCUGGGAUAACACUGACGCUCAUGCACGAAAGCGUGGGGAGCAAACAGG